GCAGUGUCUCAGAAGAAGCAGCAGAGUUCUCCCACCAAUUAACCCCAGCCCUGCGCUGUGCCCUCAGGGGUGCCCGGCUGUGUGGGCACCCUUAUCUUUGUGCCAUCUUCUCCGAACGCCAGAGCAGGGGUCUGGCUGGAAAACCGCAGAAAUUUCCUCCAGACAAUAAAAUGAUUCAAUUUACUGCCCAUAAUAGAGGGAGUCCAUCGGGCAGGGUGAGGAUGCCGGCUGGUGCUGCAUCGCUGAGUUUCUGCUGCCAUCCUGUGGCUGCACCGCCACCCUUAUUUUAGCUGAGCGGUUUUUUGGGUUGAGGAAGAUCCAAAAAUCACAGAAUCAUAGAAUCACAAGGAACAGAUCACAGAAUCAUGGAAUUUCCUGAGUGGAAAGGCACCCACAAGGGCCACAUGUCACUCUUGUCCCCCUCUAGGCCUUCUCUUAGGCCUGGUCUCAGGCUUGCUCUUGGGCCUGCUCUUAGGCCUAAGCUAAGGACUGGGGCUGCUGCCCUCAUGCACUCAAACCCUUGGUGCUUUUACCCUGCCAAACUGAUGGUUUUGCAAAAAUAUUUUGUUGGGGAAGUUCCCCCUGAGUUUGGAUCUGCAGGGUUAAUCUGUGCUGUCUUCUCCACCGUAAAAUGUCCUUUUUUCCCUACCUUGGCUCGAGUCCUGUAAAACUGACCAAAAGGCACCUUGAGGGGUCUUCAGUCUGGGCCACACAGGUUUUCUUGGGAGUAAGAAGGAAACACAAGAAAAUAAUAAUAAUAGGAUUAUUUAGAGGACUGCCCAUGCUCUUUCUGGCCCCCCCAGUGCAGGAGAGUCUUGCCAGGAAAACUCUUCCAUGGCUUGUUUCCAGUAUGAAAAUGAAUGAAGAUGGCAGUAUUCAGUACAUCAGAAUGCCUUGGGAUGUUUGAGGAGCAGCGUGACACCACCUCUGAAGUCCUUCUGUGUGUAAAAUGGGACUUUUCUAAGCAAGUCCUCCUUCACUGAAGUCGAUGAAGUCUGAGUGUCUCACAACAAGAUUCUGUAGUUUCACUUGACUUUUAACCUCAGCCUCUGCUUUUCUUGGCUUUUAAGUAAUUAAAUAUUCACCCUCAGUGGUUUAUCAGCACAAGAAGAUGUUUAAAAGCAGGCUUGGCAAAAACUUCUCCUGAGCUCAUCUGCUGCCACACUCCUCCUAGUUCUGUGUUUUCCAAGGGUUUUGCUCUUUCCAAAAGCCCCAGACAAAUGGAGAACCCUCCCUAGAUCUUUUAUAAAUAACUCCUACAGCACCACUUAGCUCUGAGAGUGGUUAAGCCACCAUUCCAGGUAUUAUGCACUCCCCACCCAGGGAUCAACAUGUACCAAGUGGAGAUGCUUUUUCCAGACCUUCCAAGUUGAUUGAACGCAAGGUGAAUUUAUCCUUUGAGUUAAUGUAUUGAAUGUAGUCGUUGGCUGCCAUGACUCUUUUCCGUCUCCAGGAGAUCCCGGUGGUGACAAACACAGGGAGUGUGUUUGUGCUCUGGACUCAGGCUCUAUAUUUAGCUACGUGAUACUGGGAGAGCUUUCCGUGAUUAAGUUCUGUUGACCGAUACUGAAAGUAAUGAACAGCCCCAACAUGGAGCGGGAGAGGUGUGGCACCAGGACUAGGUGUCACUGGGACCAAAAAAGUCUGGGAGAGAGAGCUGGUUGUGAAAGUAUGUGAAUCACCAAUCCUGUUCUUUUGGGGAGAAACCGGAAAAUGGGGUAGUGUUCCAUUUAAACCUGAGGACUGUUUGGAGCUGUCUUUUCCCUGGUUGGUGUUUAAUACUGGGCAUUAACUUAAUGAAUGAUGUGUAAUAAACAUCCGUACUAGACACAACAUUUUUGGAAUUGAUAAUUGAGUGUCUGGAAUCUUAAAUGGAGUGACAUUUCCCUUGGAGCUUCAUGAGUAGGGCUUCUCUGCUCACGGGAACAGAAUGGGUGACUUUCCACUGUCCCUUGCCUGGUUCUCUCAAAAAGGUGCAGGACUAAAAUAGUCUCUGGGAGAUUUUGCUGCUACAACAGGUUGGAUCUUCCUCAGUAGCUUUACAGGGAAGUCCUCAAGGCAUUGAGGCCAAGCACCUGGAAGAGACUCCAGGGUCCUUGAGCAAGGGUGAAUUCAGCCAGGUGACAGCGGUCCACUCCUUCAUGCUUCCUCCCGACCUUCCACUUCCACGACCUAAAUGUCACCCCACUGUGAGCUCCAUUUCUCCUGAAGGUCCCUCCUUGACCCCUCCAUAGGCUCAGUUAUCUGGCACUGCUGAAACAGGGCUCCUCAUCUCUGCUCCUGCACAUUCCCUGCUCUUCUCCAGCCACAGACGGGUUGGUACCUGUGGAAAACAGCUUGGAAAAAAGUGGUGAGGGAUGGAGCAGGAUGGGCAAACAAGGCAUUACCCCACAAAGGCAUUUUCUGCAAUAAGGCCAGGUCCUUUAAGGUGCUCUGAUCUUACAGCAGGUGUGCUCUGCCAUCUUCCUUUGUCCAUGGAAACAAGUCCAAAUUCCCAUUUGGAUGAGGGGUGUAAAACAAUAAUAAAUGAGGAUAUGCAGCUUUGUCUAUGCUUUCCCCUGGGUCCUCCCACAACAAACUGCAGGUUCACACCUUUCACUCUUCAGCAAGUGCUGCCUUUCCUGUGGGCUCCCAGCCCAACCUUCCUGAGGUGUACCUAAACACCCAAUGCUACAAGAUUCCCUUUUUUGUACAUUAACCUUGGCUUAAAUGUUUUGGUUGAGCCACAUGGAGCCAUGCUAAUAAAUCAUGGAAUCAUUUAGGUUGGAAAAGCCCUCUAAGAUCAUCAAGUCCAACUGUUCCCUUAGCACUCCCAGGUCAGUCAUGUCCCCAAAUGCCACAUCCACACAUCUGUGAAAUCUCCAGGGAUGGGGACUCCACACUUCCCUGGGCAGCCUACUCCAACACUUGACAGUCCAUUCUAUGAAGGAGUUUUUUCCUAAUAUCCAAUCGGAACCUCUCCACUUGGCUCAAAAGCAUCAUCCUUGCCAGGAACGGAUUAGCCUCUCCAUAAUUUUUAUGUUUCAUCCGACUUAAGCCCUUCUGUGCUUGGU